GGGGUUGUGGCUCAGUGAUGGAGCGCUUGCUUCAUACAUAUGAGGCACUGGGCUCCUUUCCCAGCACCACCA
rnacentral:tRNA from 1 species